rnacentral:rRNA from 1 species
CCUACGGGGGGCAGCAGUGAGGAAUAUUGGUCAAUGGACGAGAGUCUGAACCAGCCAAGUAGCGUGAAGGAUGACUGCCCUAUGGGUUGUAAACUUCUUUUAUAUGGGAAUAAAACGUUCCACGUGUGGGAUUUUGUAUGUACCAUAUGAAUAAGGAUCGGCUAACUCCGUGCCAGCAGCCGCGGUAAUACGGAGGAUCCGAGCGUUAUCCGGAUUUAUUGGGUUUAAAGGGAGCGUAGGUGGAUUGUUAAGUCAGUUGUGAAAGUUUGCGGCUCAACCGUAAAAUUGCAGUUGAAACUGGCAGUCUUGUGUACAGUAGAGGUGGGCGGAAUUCGUGGUGUAGCGGUGAAAUGCUUAGAUAUCACGAAGAACUCCGAUUGCGAAGGCAGUUCACUGGACUGCAACUGACACUGAGGCUCGAAAGUGUGGGUAUCAAACAGGAUUAGAUACCCCGGUAGUC